rfam:Murine hepatitis virus strain ML-10, complete genome.
AUUGGCGUCCGUACGUACCCUUUCUACUCUCAAACUCUUGUUAGUUUAAAUCUAAUCUAAACUUUAUAAACGGCACUUCCUGUGUGUCCAUGCCCGUGGGCUUGGUCUUGUCAUAGUGCUGACAUUUGUGGUUCCUUGGUUUUUGUUCUCUGCCAGUGACGUGUCCAUUCGGCGCCAGCAGCCCACCCAUAGGUUGCAUAAUGGCAAAGAUGGGCAAAUACGGUCUCGGCUUCAAAUGGGCCCCAGAAUUUCCAUGGAUGCUUCCGAACGCAUCGGAGAAGUUGGGUAG